CAGCGAAGGAAUUUGAAUUCAGUUUCUAGAAUCUGCGGCAAAGCAAUCACGGCGGACAAACAGUUCAUCCUUGUUCAUUUGUGCGGCGGUGCAAUUUUCGGAACUUUCCGGCAAAGAGUCGAUUCGAUUUACGCCGGCUCAAAAUCAUACGGUCCUUCGCUGAAGCUGAUUCAAUAGAACAGAACCCAUCUGCUUGCGAUGUAGAGCUGUCGUUGGUGGUCUUUAAUGUGCAUGAUUCCAACUAUGCUUGCAUGUUACAAAAAAGUGGCUGGACAAAAGACAGAAAUUUGUUUUUCCAGUGGCUAUCAGCUCUACCUUUCUCAGGCGGUGGUUUCAAUGAUGUUGCCGCUGCAGAAGGCCUUGCUGAAGCAUUGAUGAUGUUUUCUUCACUCAAAGAUGCUGAUGGGCAAAGACAUUGUAUUCUUGUUGCUGCAAGUAAUCCUUAUCCAUUGCCUAGACGAG
rnacentral:misc_RNA from 1 species